GACGAACGCGGGCGGCGUGCCUAAUACAUGCAAGUUGAGCGCUGAAGGUUGGUACUUGUACCAACUGGAUGAGCAGCGAACGGGUGAGUAACGCGUGGGGAAUCUGCCUUUGAGCGGGGGACAACAUUUGGAAACGAAUGCUAAUACCGCAUAAAAACUUUAAACACAAGUUUUAAGUUUGAAAGAUGCAAUUGCAUCACUCAAAGAUGAUCCCGCGUUGUAUUAGCUAGUUGGUGAGGUAAAGGCUCACCAAGGCGAUGAUACAUAGCCGACCUGAGAGGGUGAUCGGCCACAUUGGGACUGAGACACGGCCCAAACUCCUACGGGAGGCAGCAGUAGGGAAUCUUCGGCAAUGGACGAAAGUCUGACCGAGCAACGCCGCGUGAGUGAAGAAGGUUUUCGGAUCGUAAAACUCUGUUGGUAGAGAAGAACGUUGGUGAGAGUGGAAAGCUCAUCAAGUGACGGUAACUACCCAGAAAGGGACGGCUAACUACGUG
rnacentral:rRNA from 1 species